CUGGGAUGCGUAAAGCCCGUCUAAUAUCUGUAUUCGAACUGCGGAGGAACGGGUUACAAGCUUUCUCCAUCUUCAGUGUUGUUGGAAUCUGAGGUAAUUUCUUGCUACGGAGGUCUGCAACAUGAGCUGCAUAAGACUGGAGUACUUCGUUGUUUGGCUCUAGAGACAAGGCAAAUUUGGAAUUACUCUGCACCCAAACCAAAUUAAAAAAAAUCAUUUUGAGGCAACCGUGUUUAGUAAAAAGCUUUUCAAUUUAAGACUAGAAUACCAAAAUGUAACGUACCAAUGUAUAUUCAUGACCACAGUAUAUGCUUGUGUCAUCUGGUAACGAUAUGAUUUUUUGGAGAGAA